rnacentral:rRNA from 1 species
AGCUCCAAAGGCAUAUAUUAAAAUUGUUGCGGUUAAAAAGCUCGUAGUUGGACUGUAUCAAAGGUGGGAUGGUCUGCCCUCUGGGUAAGCAUCACACCCUUCUUUGUUAUGUUUUGUGAAAAUCUGCGUUGCGCUUGACUGUGUGGUGUGGUUGCUUGCACAUCUACUUUGAGGAAAUCAGAGUGUUCCACGCAAGUGUGCGCCAUGAAUAUAAUAGCAUGGGAUAGUCGAAUGUAUACAUAGAUAUGUUUGUUGGUUCAAAACGUGUGUUUACUAACAAGAAUAGUUGGGGGCAUCUGUAUUUGACUGUCAGAGGUGAAAUUCUUGGAUUUUUCAAAGACAAUCUACUGCAAACGCAUUUGCCAAAUAUGUUUCUAUUGAUCAAGAACGAAAGUACGCA